CGGCCCUACGGGUUGUAAACUGCUUUUGCAGGGGAAUAAACCCAGGUACGUGUACCUGGCUGAAUGUACUCUGAGAAUAAGGAUCGGCUAACUCCGUGC
rnacentral:rRNA from 1 species